AUACGUAAGAGAUUACGUAGCUGCUUGCAGUCUCUAUACAGGUGCUGCAUGGCGUGUCGUCAGCUCGUGCUGUGAAGUGUUGGGUUAAGUCCCGCAACGAGCGCAACCCCUUUGUCUGUUACCAGCAAGUAAAGUUGGGGACUCAGACGGAACUGCCGGUGACAAACCGGAGGAAGGUGGGACGACGUCAAGUCAUCAUGGCCCUUAUAUCCUGGGCUACACACGUGCUACAACGGCAGGUACAGAGCGAAGCGAAGCAGCGAUGCGGAGCAAAUCGCAGAAAGCCUGUCUCAGUACAGAUUGGAGUCUGAAGCUCGACUCCAUGAAGGUGGAAUCGCUAGUAAUCGCGCAUCAGCAUGGCGCGGUGAAUACGUUCCCGGGCCUU
rnacentral:rRNA from 1 species